GUAGGGUUUUAUAAAAAACAAAACUCCCCUCACUAUCUUCUUUGGCUUCUCGCCUCUUUCUCUGCCUCUUUUCUUAUGAGAUAUGUUGUCGCCUUGGACUAAUCCAAGCCUUUGAUUUCUAUUGCUAUGGAUUAUCAACAGUCCAGAACUUCUAUUCUUUCGUGUUGGUGUGCCAGCUAACAAGAUUGUGUCUGCUCUCAGGUUAUAUGGAUUGUGCUCCUAAUUUGCUGACAAAUCUUAUCUAUUGAAGAGAUUCUUCUUCACUUUGGCAAGUUCUCAUUUUUCCUUCUUUGCUCUCUAGCUUUUGUCUUCCUGUAGGUUGGUCCUCAAUUGGAGUGAAUGGAUAGCUUUGACAUGCCUCCUUGAAAGAGUGUUAACUUUUUCUAGGUUUAAAUGUCUUAUCUUGACCCAAGAUCCUCCCAUUUUGUCUCAUCCUUUUUGGUGGGUUAAAUAAUUUAGGUCAGAUAGAUUUCAAUUAUUAAAUUGAUUUUAAAACCUAUCAAUCAGAUUCAUUGGCAUGCUUUUCUUCCCUCAUAUGGUUGAAUAAUUGUCGUGGAGGAGCAUAUAGAAAUAAACUUUUCCAAUUGUGUUCCAAUAUGAGUAUAAGAAAACAAAUAAAAAACUAAAGAAAAUCUCUAGUGAGUAUUUUAUUAGAGAACGAAGAUAAACUAAACAUAUAUUAAAGCAGUCUAAUUAUGUUUUUAAGUAUUUACUUAAAGACUCACUAAGGUGGCACUCCACAAUUCUUUGUUUGACAUAUCGUCCUGAUCUAUAGAAAUUCAAGAAAUGAGUUGGAUUUUAUUUGUGAUGAAGAAUUUGAUACCAAAUCAAGUAUUUUUAUCAUGGAAGUUCCAAUUUUGGUGAUGACUAAGUUAAUCCGAAUUAACAUCCAAAAAUGAAGAUGGGUGUCCACUACCACACUCAUCAAUAUAGAAUCUUAAGUUAGGGAAAUAGUUUAACUUAUAUAUACAAAAAAUAUGUAACCCUUAAUUUUGUAUAAGGAAAAUUUGAUCCAUAUAUAACAAAUAUUUCUUGUUUGUCAUUCUAUACGUUUUUGGGGAUUCAACACACACUAGUAGGUAAAAUGAUGGAACGGUAGAGGUUGUCUAUAAGGCGGUUGCAAUGACAAUCAUUCUGGUAGAAAUGGAAUAUAAUCAGAAGGUCCUGAAGGUGUUAAGUUGGUAGAGGAGGUACUCAUUACGGUAGGGGUGGUGCUCAAACAAGCGACAUGACAUAAUUUUAUUCUUUUCCAGGAAGGCCAGAGGCAGAAGCAUUACACACAUUUAUUACAGAUUGAAUUUUCAUUUAUUGUAUAACCAGUGCCAAGUUGAUUCUAUACAUGUGAUCGAACACGAUAAUUGGUACACUGGGGGAGUGUCCUUUACAAUUCUUUAAUACUAGAAAAAAGUCCCCUCAAUGUUCUAAUACCCUCACUGAACCAAUCGGUUGAAGAGGCUACUUGGGAUACCGAAGCAGACAUGUGCAAGAAGUAUUCCUAAUUAUUCAUCGAUUCAUUAUUUAUCAUUUGAAUUUUGAAUGCUCUUUUUCUCCCUCCUAAUCGUGACAUCUCAAUUCUAAUUAACCGCCUAGACGUGUUUCAACAAACUUCUUAAUUUUAUUUUUCAUUUGUAUAUGAAGAAUCUCAAGUAUUUAUAAAUAUCAAUUUGUUUAUAUUUCAGUAUUUGUAUACGUUUUGAUAGUUUUGUUGUCAUAUUAUACAUAUCUAUAUUUAUUUUUAUAUACACAGACAUCCAUUUCUAUUUUCUGGUACGUAGUUCUAUGUGUUUAUUUAUUUAUUUUUGGUUGUACUUUUUAUUUCUAAUUAUUCCCCAAAAUACCUUAUACAAACCAAAUAUAUAAUUUCAGCAUUUAUAUACAAUUAUAGGGGUGAACAUUUGGUAUUCGGUUCGAUUUCAGUUUUUUUUUCGGUUUUUCAAUUUUUGGUUCUUGUAAAUUGUGUGCCGAAUACCAAACUGAAAUAUUUCAGUUCGGUUCGGUUUUUGUUAUUUCGAUUAGGUUUUUAUUAAUUCGGUUUGGUUUUUUUA